CCAACUGCCCGAUAGGGCUCUAUAUAAUGACACCCAAAGGGGAAGGAGACAGAGAUACUCAGCUCUGCCUGCAGCUGGAUUCAUUUCUGACGGGAGCCCCAGGACUUGGGUCGAUCCAGUGACAGACGCGGCCAUGGCCCCGACAGGAUCCUGCCCCUUGCUCUUCCUGCCCCUCAUCCUGCUGGCCGCCUACCUGGCCCAGAACAUCGUACUACCCGACAGCUACAAGCGGUUUGUGAGCGAACACGUUGAUUUCCCCAAGACCAGACCCCCAGUGGCCAGAGCUACUGCAACGUCAUGAUGCGGCACCUCAGCCUGACCCACCCUGGCUGCAGACCCAGCAACACCUUCAUCCAUGCCCCCACCAGACAGGUCCGAGCCAUUUGCAGCGGCACAGGGAGCUGCGUGUACCUCGCAUACAACCAAUGCGACAGCAACACAGGCUUCCGCCUCACCACAUGCCAGCUGGUGUUCAGCCCCCACCGCCCACCGCGCUGUAUCUACAGGGAAAUACCCCAGACCCACAGGAUCAGCAUGGCCUGUAACCAGCAGGAGCAGCCCGUGCACGUCAUCAGAAUCCUGUAGAUCCCAGGCGCUAGAAAUGGGCUGGGAGCAGGGGUGCCCCUGCUCCCCCUUUCACUGCUGGUAGCCCCCGUCACUGGGAGCUCUCCUAUCCCGUCCCUGCCCCUCCUGCGCUACACCCGCCAUAAGUCUCCACAGGGACAUGCAGCGUCUCCCCUUAUCCCGCAGGCCGGCAGCCUGUGGGGGGAUUUACCACACUGGGCGUCCAGUUCCCAUCCACACGAGUGAAAAUCCAGGUACCCAGCCCCUCGGCUGGCACUGAGCGCCUCAGCCUGAGCCUAGCACCCGCCUUGCUGGGUGCCCAUCGUUCAGUACAGCCAGACCCCUUCCCCCAUUGGGUAUCGGGGGCAGGUUGUGGGGAGAAGAUUGUCCCAGGCGGGGCCUUGGAAGCUGUCACUGAGUUUUCUUUCCUUGCUGCUUCUUGCAAUAAAACACUUUCCUGCCAA